UACGGGGGGGGCAAGCGUUGUUCGGAAUUACUGGGCGUAAAGGGCGCGUAGGCGGUCAGACCAAGUCGAGUGUGAAAUUCCAGGGCUUAACUCUGGCACGCUCGCUCGAUACUGGUCGGCUAGAGUGUGGAAGAGGAUGCUGGAAUUCCCAGUGUAGCGGUGAAAUGCGUAGAUAUCUGGAGGAACACCGGUGGCGAAGGCGGCAUCCUGGACCAACACUGACGCUGAGUGAGCGAAAGCCAGGGGAGCAAACGGG
rnacentral:rRNA from 1 species